rnacentral:tRNA from 1 species
GGUGAUGUAGCUCAGCUGGUAGAGCAUCGGACUGAAAAUCCGUGAGUCGGUGGUUCGAGUCCACUCAUCACCACCA